CUCCUUACCGGGCAGGGGAGACACCGGAUCAGGACGGGGGUUCCCAGGGCGAGGCUCCCGGUGCACCGCGGUGUGCUGACCCUGCGAUUUCCCCAAAUGCAAUUUACAGCCAUAGUCGGGUGUGAUUGGAGGGGUGCCAGCCCCCCACCAGU
rnacentral:snRNA from 1 species